AUCAUAGUUGCUGUUCUUAUUGUGGCUGUAGCAGUAGCAGUUACCAUAUUUCUGAAAACCUGUGCUUCUCAAUCACCUGGAGGGGAUCAGAUAUUUCUGUCAGAGGAGCCUGUAAAACCCACCACAGUAACACCAAUGUUAAAAAAGCAGGAUGUGCAGUGUGCAGCCUACUCUCCUGCUAAAAACAGGAGGAUUCCCUAUAAUGGAAAAGACUACUGACCCUCAGCUGAAAUUUUGACUUGAUAAUGAUGACCUUAUACAAAGUUUGUUUUGGGUUUUUUAACAUUGGUUUGGUCCAGGCCCAAUUAGUGUCGAGGCUUAUGAUGUAAAAGUACUGUAAUGGAGUGUAGAAGGAGAUCGACUGAGUUUAUCCAAAAAAGUUGAACUAUGUAAUGUGGUUGUGUGAAUUCAAAGGCCUGGACCGGAUGAAAAAGCUGCAGCAAGUUUGGUUUUUAACUUUUUUUUUUUUUGUUGAGGAUGCAAAUACUUUCUUUGUGUGUGAACAUGUUAAUAAAUGAA